rnacentral:rRNA from 1 species
CCUACGGGAGGCAGCAGUGGGGAAUUUUCCGCAAUGGGCGAAAGCCUGACGGAGCAAUACCGCGUGAGGGAGGAAGGCUCUUGGGUUGUAAACCUCUUUUUUCAGGGAAGAUAAUGACGGUACCUGAGGAAUAAGCAUCGGCUAACUCCGUGCCAGCAGCCGCGGUAAUACGGAGGAUGCAAGCGUUAUCCGGAAUGAUUGGGCGUAAAGCGUCCGCAGGUGGUUUUAAAAGUCUGUUGUUAAAGCGUGAGGCUUAACCUCAUAAGGGCAAUGGAAACUGUAAGACUAGAGUACGUUCGGGGCAAGGGGAAUUCCCAGUGUAGCGGUGAAAUGCGUAGAGAUUGGGAAGAACGCCGGUGGCGAAAGCGCCUUGCUAGGCCGUAACUGACACUGAGGGACGAAAGCUAGGGGAGCGAAUGGGAUUAGAUACCCCAGUAGUCCUAGCCGUAAACGAUGGAUACUAGGCGUUGUCUGUAUCGACCCGGACAGUGCCGUAGCUAACGCGUUAAGUAUCCCGCCUGGGGAGUACGCACGCAAGUGUGAAACUCAAAGGAAUUGACGGCUGAGANGCAGCGACACGAGGAGAG